UUGCUGUGGAUGAUGAUUUCAUAGUUCAACUGAAUUGGUGAUGUAAAAUUUUCGCCCCUAUCUGACACAAGCA